rnacentral:rRNA from 1 species
AUGAUCGAAACCAAACACACCCUAAGUAUCUCCCAGUCCGCCCAUCAAUUCAUUUGCUUAAGGCCUAGUGCGCAUAUCUGGCUCUGUAAAAGUCCCGAUGUUCCCGGCCGUCCGGACCGGCGCCCACAAAUGCUGGCUUCGUCCCUUCUGCAUACGGAGCCGCCAUGGAUGAUGAACCACGCCGACGGCCUGCUGACCAGUUUCGUCACCCUGGCGCUGUGCGGCACGGGCCUCGCCGGAUGGCUUCUGUUCGGACGAACCUGGAGACUUGGGCACGUUGCGCCUGCUCCUGGCACCAGUUGUGAUGAAGCAGGGCAAGGUAUACAAGAGCAAGACCGCCUCAUCGAACAGAAUUCCGGUGCCGGGCUGGAGUCAACGGAGGAUCCAUAUGCUUCUCCAACACUCAACGUGAUCCACCCCUGGCUGCUGGAGGUCAAUCUGUUACGCGACCUCCGUCACGAAAACAUCAUCACACUCGUACCUGCUUCCACUCCCGGCAGCGAGUUCGUCUACGAGCACGCGGAGAACGGUACCCUUGAUAAGUGGCUGCACCGCCCCCGCCCACCGCUGAACUGGCCGAUGAGGAGGGCCAUCGCCAUCGGCGUCGCAGGAGGGCUGUCCUACCUGCACAAGCAAUGCAUCGUCCACCACAACAUCAACUCUAGCAACGUAUUGCUUGACCGUGCCUUCAAGCCCAAGAUCGCGGGCUUCGGUCAUGCCCAAAAGAUCAACAUUGCCGGAUCGGACGACGGAGACGAACAACCGCCGCCGACGUUUCAACCUCUUACCGGCAACUUUGGAUACGCGGCUCCAGACUAUGUGACAAUGAUAGGUGAGUUGACCGAGAUGGUUGACGUGUACAGCUUGGGCGUGGUGCUACUGGAGCUAGUAACCGGGCGGGCAGCCGUUGAAUUUGCCAUCACUGACGAUGGAGGCCGAGGACCCUGGAUUUUUUUAAUCUUUUACCUCUCCCUCUCUCUCCCCCUCCUCCUCCCGGGUCGCUCGCGCGGGCGGCUCCGGAGGCCAAAACCCUAG